UUGUGUAAGUAGAAACAGGCCGUUUCUCACCUUACAGCAUGGCUAGUAAGGUUAGAGUAUAUAAAUUCAAUUUGUAUUAUUGUUUAUAAAGACGGCUUAUGCCGUCUUUUAUUUAUUAU
rfam:Clostridium sp. IEH 97212 scaffold_12, whole genome shotgun sequence.